GACGAACGCUGGCGGCGUGCCUAACACAUGCAAGUCGAACGGAGAGAUACGAGAGCUUGCUCUUGUAAAUCUUAGUGGCAAACGGGUGAGUAACGCGUAAACAACCUGCCCAACGGAUGGGGACAACAGACGGAAACGACUGCUAAUACCCAAUAGACUCCGGUUUCGCAUGAAACCGACAGGAAAGGUGGCCUCUCGAAGAAGCUACCGCCGCAGGAGGGGUUUGCGUUUGAUUAGUUAGUUGGUGGGGUAACGGCCUACCAAGACGAUGAUCAAUAGCCGGUCGGAUAGGAGGGACGGCCAGACUGGGACGGAGACACGGUCCAGACGCCUACGGGAGGCAGCAGGAGUGAAUCUGGCGCAAUGGACGAAAGUCUGACGGAGCAACGCCGCGGGAGUGAAGAAGGCCGUCGGGUUGUAAAGCUCGGUUAUUCGGGAAGAACGAUUCGUUUGUAAAUAAGGAACGGAAGUGACGGUACCGAAAGAGAAAGCCACGGCUAACUACGUG
rnacentral:rRNA from 1 species